rnacentral:rRNA from 1 species
AGGUUACGUCAAGACUCACGGUUAUUAACCGUAGGCUUUUCUUCUCUACUGAAAGUGCUUUACAACCCGCAGGCCUUCUUCACACACGCGGCAUUGCUGGAUCGGGCUUGCGCCCAUUGUCCAAUAUUCCCCA